rnacentral:tRNA from 1 species
GCCGGCGUAGCUCAGUGGUAGAGCGAAGGAAUCAUAAACCUUAGGUCACUGGUUCAAUCCCAGUCGUCGGCA